rnacentral:rRNA from 1 species
UACGUAGGGCGCAAGCGUUGUCCGGAAUUAUUGGGCGUAAAGAGCUCGUAGGCGGUUUGUCGCGUCUGCUGUGAAAACCUAAGGCUCAACCUUGGGCUUGCAGUGGGUACGGGCAGACUAGAGUGCGGUAGGGGUGACUGGAAUUCCUGGUGUAGCGGUGGAAUGCGCAGAUGUCAGGAGGAACACCGAUGGCGAAGGCAGGUCACUGGGCCGCAACUGACGCUGAGGAGCGAAAGCGUGGGGAGCGAACAGG